rnacentral:rRNA from 1 species
UACGUAGGGUGCAAGCGUUAAUCGGAAUUACUGGGCGUAAAGCGUGCGCAGGCGGUUGUGUAAGACAGAUGUGAAAUCCCCCGGGCUCAACCUGGGACUGCAUUUGUGACGUGCACAGCUGGAGUGCGGCAGAGGGGGAUGGAAUUCCGCGUGUAGCAGUGAAAUGCGUAGAUAUGCGGAGGAACACCGAUGGCGAAGGCAAUCCCCUGGGCCUGCACUGACGCUCAUGCACGAAAGCGUGGGGAGCAACAG